rnacentral:rRNA from 1 species
UACGUAGGUCGCAAGCGUUGUCCGGAUUUACUGGGCGUAAAGAGCGCGCAGGCGGCUGGUCAAGUCCGAUGUGAAAUCUCCCGGCUUAACUGGGAAACUGCAUCGGAAACUGAUCGGCUUGAAGGUGGGAGAGGGUAGUGGAAUUCCCGGUGUAGUGGUGAAAUGCGUAGAUAUCGGGAGGAACACCAGUGGCGAAGGCGGCUCUCUGGACCGGUGCUGACGCUCAGGCGCGAAAGGCGUGGGGAUCAAACAGG